rnacentral:lncRNA from 1 species
UUUUUUUUUAAUAUUUUUGGUUUAACAUUCGACUGUUGCAAACCGGUGUAUUCACCAUAUAAUUUCGAAUUUUAUGUAGUAAUAAAAGUCGAAUACACCUACGUGAAAAGCAAAAAUUCAUUUUUGAAAUAAUUUAAUAAAAGUUUCUAUGUAAUGCAGUACCAACGGAAAAACUGCUGAGUUAGGUUAUAUCACAGUCUAUAUAACUAUAGGUCGUAUAAUAAUCCAGGAGCCGUAUCGAACGUUUUGGUGUUAUUUCCAGUUAUCUUUUUGUUGGUUUUCCCUCGGAUAAUCACUAUUGAACAGCGAGUGAAUCGUAUUUUAUUUUGGCCAUCCAAUUAAAAACCAUAGCAGCGACCGUUAUGGCGUUACGCCGCUUUGAACAUUAAUAGAGAAGUGGAGGGUGCGGUUGUCGCGUAAACUGAUGGAAAUCUCAUUCGAUAGAACCUAUCCUGUUUUCACCAUCUAGACUAUUCUAUCUAUGGUCAUCGACCUUUCAUUCGAUUUUGGAGUCAAUACACUAUCUGGGUUCUAACUAUCCGAUACUUCGACAUAUUGGGAGUUGUAUAUAGAAUUAACUUUUAUCUUUCUGUUGUACUACCUGUUUCUAAGCGAUGCCAGUUUGUUUACAAUAUCCGGUAUUUUAGUGAAAGGUUUAACGUAUCCGGAAGAUAAACAGUUACCGGAUGAAUUUCGCCUUUUGUCUUAUUUUGUUUUUUAACCGUAACUUUCGUUCGACCGGUUUUAGAAACCCGUCGUGUGUGUAUGUGAUGCUCAUCAUAUUUUUCUUUCGUCUGGGUUUGUGUUUAUGGAUCAUUCGUGAUGACCAGUAUUUUUCUGUUCACGAGGUAAGUUAUAGGACAGUUGCAGGCCGAAGAAUAGGCGCCGAGUAGCUUGAAUCAUUGGUACUCAAUGGCUUUUCUUUCAUCGAUAUUUUUCUAACAGAUCGGACCUGGUACUCAUGCGAACGGCAACAACAACGUUUCGGUAAUGGUACAAAGUCGGAAUUUGAAUAACAAUGUUACAUUUCAAAAUGUAUCAGUAUUAAAAAAAAGCACACCGUUCUGUGUAUUAAAGUGUUAUCUGCAAACAGUUUAAUACCAGCAAGAAAGUCUAGACACGUAACAGCACAGGAGGUUGUUCCGUUACGUUGCGUGUCUAUGAAAUAUGCACGUAAAACCGGUGGACAAGUUAAAACGUGGGUGCAAUUGUAGGUCUGUUACACCAAUCGAUUCGGAUAAAAUUAGGUCCCGUACUUUUUUUAAAUUCAAUUCACUCAUUUUGCCAAGGUGAGUUGUUCCUAUGGUAGCACGCCUUGACAACUUAAAAGUGGUCUUCCAUGUGCAAACAGGAAUCGACCUUGUCUUCAUCGAGUAUUAUUUGCCGUAGAUACCGAAAAUAGCACUAAUUGUUUACAGUAGAGAGCGAGAGAGAGAGAGGAAAAGGAAGUCGCCUUCCCUUCAUAAUGAAAGAUCUCUGAAGAUAGAAGAGAGAGAGAGGAGUAUGAUAAAAUUUAUUACUUGACUAGUGAAUUAAUUAAUAUUUGCAGUCAUCAGUGGCCAAUUUGAGCAUUCAAUAGCUCAGUUCAAGAUAUGUUGACUGGAAGCAAAUGCAUCUAAUGAAGAUGAAAUUGGGCUAUA